UAAAUAAAUACUCAAUUAAUUAUUAAAUAAUUAAAUAAAAUAAAAUAAAAAGAGAGAGGGCAGAUCCAAUGGAUCGAAUUUUUUUUUAGACACAUCAUUUAAUGCUGCAUUUAAUUAGGGCACACAAAUCAUAUUCCUUCCUUCCUGACAAAGGCAAAUCAAAUCAUAUUCCUUCUACACCGUCACUUUCACUCCAUCUUUUAUGCAUUGUAUCAUUUCUUUUCUUCACCCCACAUCACCACCACACCAUCUAUCCCCUCUAUAAUACUCUUUCACAAAUCAAUUUUCUCCUACUUUGUUCCUCUGCAACAAGAACAAGAUUUAUUCUUCUCAACUUCUACUCAAUCAAAUUCAAGAAACCAAGAAUCCAAAUUCAGGAAGGAGAAAACCAACAGCCUUGCUUGAGCCGAUCUGUUCAGUGAGGGUACGUCCGCAAGUAAAGUCGGAACGAAUGAUUCAAGUUAAAGGAACUAAAUGAUCCAGGUUGAGCAGCGAAGUGGUGGAGGAAGUGCUAUUGAGACAAGACAUUUAAUUCAGUCAGAGAUUUUG